rnacentral:rRNA from 1 species
ACAAGCGGAGGAACAUGUGGUUAAUUCGAUGAUACGCGAGGUAACCUUACUGGGCUUAAAUGUAGAGUGCAUUUUUUAGAGAUAGAAAUUCCCUUCGGGGCUUUCUGCAAGGUGCUGCAUGGUUGUCGUCAGCUCGUGCCGUGAGGUGUCGGGUUAAGUCCCAUAACGAGCGCAACCCUUAUCGUUAGUUGCCAGCUGGUAAAGCAGGGGACUCUAGCGAAACUGCCACCGUAAGGUGAGAGGAAGGUGGGAUGACGUCAAAUCAGCACGGCCCUUAUGUCCAGGGCUACACACGUGUUACAAUGGCCGGCACAGAGGGCAGCUACCUGGUGACAGGAUGCUAAUCUCGAAAACCGGCCUCAGUUCGGAUCGAAGUCUGCAACUCGACUUCGUGAAGCUGGAUUCGCUAGUAAUCGCGCAUCAGCCAUGGCGCGGUGAAUACGUUCCCGGGCCUU